UGAGGAAUAUUGGUCAAUGGGCGAGAGCCUGAACCAGCCAUCCCGCGUGCAGGAAGACGGCCCUAUGGGUUGUAAACUGCUUUUUUAUGAGAAGAAAAAGGUCUACGUGUAGGCAACUGACGGUAUCAUAAGAAUAAGCAUCGGCUAACUCCGUGCCAGCAGCCGCGGUAAUACGGAGGAUGCGAGCGUUAUCCGGAUUUAUUAGGUUUAAAGGGUGUGUAGGCGGAAAAUUAAGUCAGUGGUGAAAUCUCACAGCUUAACUGUGAAACUGCCAUUGAUACUGAUUUUCUUGAGUACAGUUGAAGUAGGCGGAAUGUGUAAUGUAGCGGUGAAAUGCUUAGAUAUUACACAGAACACCGAUUGCGAAGGCAGCUUACUAAGCUGUUACUGACGCUGAUGCACGAAAGCGUGGGGAGCGAACAGG
rnacentral:rRNA from 1 species